GAUAACCAAUCAUACAUAAAAGAAUUCAGAGGAGAUUCAAAUAUUUCUCAUAGAUAAACUUGAUCAUAAACCCACAAUUCAUCGGAUCUUGACAAACACACCGCAAAAAGAGUUACAUCGAAUAGAUCUCCAAGAAGAUCGAGGAGAACAUUGUAUUGAGAUUCAAAGAGAGAGAAGAAGCCAUCUAGCUAAUAAUUAUGGACCCGAAGGUCUGUGGUAAACUACUCACAACUCAUCGGAGAGGCCUUGGCGAUGAUGUAGAAGCCCUUCGUGAUCAAUUCCCCCUCCAACGGAGCGUCGGAAAAGGCUCCAAGAUGGGAUCUCACGGGUACAAAAGGUUGCGGCGGUGGAAAUAGGUUUUCGUGGUGCUCAUCGUUGUUUUUAGGGUAUGCAAGUAUAUAUAGGUGAAAGAAGUCGGUCAGGGGAGCCACGAGGGGCCCACGAGGGUGGGGAGCGCGCCCACCCCCCUAGGGUGCGCCAGGCACCCUCAUGGCCGCCUCGGCUGCUUCUUGACGUCCACUCCAAGUCUCCUGGAUUGCGUUUGUUCCAAAAAGAUCACUCCUGAAGGUUUCAUUCCAUUUUGACUCCGUUUGAUAUUUGUUUUCUUCGAAACACUGAAAUAGGCAAAAAAACAACAAUUCGUGUUGGGCCUCCAGUUAGUAGGUUAGUCCCAAAAAUGAUAUAAAAGUGUAAAGUAAAGCCCAUAAACUUCCAAAACUGGUAAUAUAAUAGCAUGGAACAAUCAAAAAUUAUAGAUACGUUGGAGACGUAUCAAGCAUCCUCAAGCUUAAUUCCUGCUCGUCCUCGAGUAGGUAAAUGAUAAAAACAUAAUUUUUGAUGUGGAAUGCUACCUAGUGUAUUUCUCAAUGUAAUUUUCUUUAUUGUGGCAUGAAUGUUUGGAUCCAAAUGAUUCAAGAUAAAAGUUCAUAUUAACAUAAAAAUAGUAAUACUUCAAGCAUACUAACAAAGUAAUCAUGUCUUAUCAAAAUAGCAUAGCCAAAGAAAGCUUAUCCCUACAAAAUCAUAUAGUUAGGCUAUGCUUCAUUUUCAUCACACAAAAUACUCCCAUCAUGCACAACCCCGGUUUCAGCCAAGCAAUUGGUUCAUACUUUUUAACGCGCUUCGGCUUUUUCAGCUCUCACGCAAUACAUGAGCGCAAGCCAUGGAUAUAGCAGUAUAUGUGGAAUGGGAUGGUGGUUGUGAAGAAGACAAAAAAGAGAGAAGAUAGUCUCACAUCAACUAGGCGUAUCAAUGGGCUAUGGAGAUGCCAUUAAUAGAUAUCAAUGUGAGUGAGUAGGUAUUGCCAUGCAAAGGAUGCACUACAGCUAUAAAUGUAUGAAAGCUCAACAAAAGAAACUAAGUGGGUGUGCAUCCAACUUUCUUGCUCACGAAGACCUAGGGCAUUUUGAGGAAGCCCGUCAUUGGAAUAUACAAGCCAAGUUCUAUAAUGAAAAAUUCCCACUAGUAUAUGAAAGUGACAACAUAGGAGACUCUCUAUCAUGAAGAUCAUGGUGCUACUUUGAAGCACAAGUGUGGAAAAAGGAUAGUAACAUUGUCCCUUCUCUCUUUUCUCUCAUUUUUUUUAUUUGGUGGGCUUCUUUGGCCUCUCUUUUUUAUUUGGGCUUCUUUGGCCUCUCUUUUUUUAUAAUGUCCGGAGUCUCAUCCCGACUUGUGGCGGAAUCAUAGUCUCCACCAUCCUUUCCUCACUUGGGACACUGCUCUAAUAAUGAAGAUCAUCACAAUUUAUUGAUUUACAACUCAAGAAUUACAACUCAAUACUUAGAACAAAAUAUGACUCUAUGUGAAUGCUCCGGCGGUGUACCGGGAUAUGCAAUGUAUCAAGAGUGACAUGUAUGAAAGAAUUAUGAAGGUGGCCUUGCCACAAAUAUGAUGUCAACUACAUGAUCAUGCAAAAGCAAUAUGACAAUGAUGGAGCGUGUCAUAGUAAACGGAACAGUGGAAAGUUGUAUGGCAAUAUAUCUCGGGAUGGCUAUGGCAAUGUCAUAAUAGGUAGGUAUGGUAGCUGUUCUGAGGAACGUAAAUGGUGGGUGUAUAAUACCGGCGAAAGUUGCAAGGCAUAAGAGAGGCUAGCAAUGGUGGAAGGGUGAGAGUGUGUAUAAUCCACGGACUCACAUUAGUCAUAAAGAACUCAUAUACUUAUUGCAAAAGUUAAUUAGCCCUCGAAGCAAAGUACUACUACGCAUGCUCUUAGGGGAAGGGUUGGUAGGAGUUAACCAUCGCGCGAUCCCGACGUCCACACAUAAGGAAGGCAAUCAAAAGAGCACCCCAUGCAACAAAUUUGUUACACAACUUUUACCAUAUGUGCAUGCUACGGGACUUGCCAACUUUAACACAAAUAUUUCUCAAUUUCACAAUUACCCCACUAGCAUGACUCUAACAUUAUCACCUUUAUAUCUCAAAACAAUUAUCAAGUAUCAAAUUGAUCAUAGUGUUUAAUGCACUCUCUAUGAUAGUUUUUAUUAUACCCAACUUGGAUGCCCAUCAUUCUAGGACCAAUUUUAUAACCAUAGCAAAUACCAUGCUGUUCUACAAGACUCUCAAAAUAAUAUAAGUGAAGCAUGAGAGAUCAAUAAUUUCUACAAAAUAAAGCCACCGCCGUGCUCUAAAAUGAUAUAAGUGAAGUACUAGAGCAAAAUUGUCUAGCUCAAAAGAUAUAAGUGAAGCACAUAGAGUACUCUAAUAAAUUCCGAAUCAUAUGUGUCUCUCGCAAAAUGUGUGUACAGCAAGGACCAUUAUGGUAAACUAAAAAUCAAAGACUCAUAUCAUACAAGACGCUCCAAGCAAAACACAUAUCAUGUGGCGAAUAAAAAUAUAGCUCCAAGUAAAGUUACCGAUAGACGAAGACGAAAGAGAGGAUGCUUUCCGGGGCAUCCCCAAUCUUAGGCUUUUGGUUGUCCUUGAAUUAUAUUGGGGUGCCAUGGUCAUCCCCAAGCUUAGGCUCUUGCCACUUCUUAUUCCAUAGUCCAUCCAAUCUUUACCCAAAACUUGAAAACUUCACAACACAAAACUCAACAGGAAAUCUCAUAAGCUCCGUUAGUGCAAGAAAGAAAAACCACCACUUAAGGUACUGUAAUUAACUCAUUCUUUAUUUAUAUUGGUGUUAAACCUACUGUAUUCCAACUUCUCUAUGGUUCAUACCCCCCGAUACUAGCCAUAGAUUCAUCAAAAUAAGCAAACAACACACGAAAAACAGAAUCUGUCAAAAACAUAACAGUCUGUAGAGAUAUGUAACUUUAAAAUACUUAUGGGACUCUAAAACUCCUACAAAAAUAGGAAGUCCUGGGAAAUUUGUCUAUUGCUCUACUGCAAAAGGAAUCAACUAAAAAUCACGUUUCUGUGAUUUAUUAAAAUUAUUCUCAUGCGUGCAAAAGUUUCUGUUUUUUAGCAAGAUCAUAUUAACUAUCACCGUAGGUUAUCCUAUAGGUUCUACUUGGCACAAACACUAAUUAAAACAUAAAACCACAUCUAAAAAGAAGUAGAUGAUUUAUUUAUUACUAAACAGAAGUAAAAAGCAAGGAACAAAAAUAAAAUUGGGUUGCCUCCCAACAAGCGCUAUCGUUUAACGCCCCUAGCUAGGCAUAAAAGCGAGAAUAGAUCUAAGUAUUGCCAUCUUUGGUAUUCGGUUCAUAAGUGGCUCUCAUAAUAGAUUCAUAAGGUCAUUGAUUUUAUUUCUAGGAAAGUGUUCCAUGUCUUUCCUUAAUGGAAACUGGAAUCUAAUAUUUCCUUCCUUCAUAUCAAUAAUUGCACCAAUCGUUCUAAGGAAAGGUCUACCAAGAAUAAUAGGACAUGAAAUAUUGCAAUCUAUAUCAAGAACGAUGAAAUCUAUGGGCACAUAAUUCCUAUUUGCAACAAUAAGAACAUCAUUAAUCCUUACCAUGGGUUUCUUAAUAGUGUAAUCCGCAAGGUGCAAGUUUAAAGAGCAAUCAUCAAAUUCACGGAAACCUAGCACAUCACAUAAAGUUUUUGGAAUCGUGGAAAUACUAGCACCCAAAUCACACAAAGCAUAGCAUUCAUGAUCUUUAAUUUUAAUUUUUAUAGUAGGUUCUGACUCAUCAUAAAGUUUUCUAGGGAUAGAAACUUCCAAUUCAAGUUUUUCUUCAUAAGAUUGCAUCAAGGCAUCAACAAUAUGAUUGGUAAAAGCUUUAUUUUGACUAUAAGCAUGAGGAGAAUUCAACACGGAUUGCAACAAGGAAAAACAAUCUAUUAAAAAACAAUUAUCAUAAUUAAAUUUCUUGAAAUCCAAAAUAUUGGGUUCAUUGCUAUGUAAAGUUUUGACCUCUCCAAUCCCACUUUUACCAAAUUUAGCAUCAAGAUCUAGAAACUCCGAAUUAUUGGGACGCCUUUUAACUAAAGUUGACUCAUCUCUAGUCCCAUCAUUAUCAAGAUUCAUACUGCAAAACAAAGAUUUAAUAGGGGACACAUCAAUAACUUUUAGUUCUUCAUCAUUAUUAUCACGGAAACUAGAAGAACACACUUUUACAAAGCAAUCUUUCUUAGCACGCAUCCUAGCGGUUCUUUCUUCACGCUCAUCAAUGGAAAUUCUCAUGGCUUUGAGAGACUCAUUGAUAUCAUGCUUAGGUGGAAUAGAUCUAAGUUUCAAAGAAUCAACAUUAAGAGAAAGUCUAUCAACGUUUCUAGCCAAUUCAUCAACUUUAAGCAAUUUUUCUUCAAGCAAAGCAUUGAAUUUUUUUUGAGAGAUCAUAAAUUCUUUAACACUAUUCUCAAAAUCAGAGGGCGUCUUAUUAAAUUUUCCAUAAGAGUUGUUGUAGGAAUUACCAUAAUUAUUAGAGGAAUUACUAGGAAACGACAUAGGAUUAAAGUUUCCUCUAUAAGCAUUGUUACCAAAAUUAUUCCUACCAACAAAAUUCACAUCCAUAGAUUCAUUAUUAUUCUCAAUCAAAGUAGACAAAGGCAUAUCAUUGGGAUCAAUAGGAGCACUCUUAGUAGCAAACAUUUCAUAAGUUCAUCCAUCUUUUCACUCAAAACAUUAAUUUCUUCUGUCGCAUGAACCUUUUUAUUAGUAGAUUUUUCGGUGUGCCAUUGAGAAUAAUUAACCAUAAUAUUAUCUAGGAGUUUAGCAGCUUCUCCUAAAGUGAUUUCCAUAAAAGUGCCUCCCGCGGCCAAAUCUAAAAGAUUUCUAGAAGCAAAAUUCAAUCCGGCAUAAAAAUUUUGUAUGAUCAUCCAUAAAUUUAAUCCAUGAGUAGGGCAAUUUUGAAUUAUUAAUUUCAUCCUCUCCUAAGAUUGUGCAACAUGUUCAUGAUCAAGUUGAUUAAAAUUCAUAAUAUCGUUCCUAAGGGAGAUGAUCUUAGCGGGAGGAAAAUACUUAGAGAUAAAAGCAUCUUUGCACUUAUUCCAUGAAUCAAUAUUAUUUUUAGGCAAAGACGAAAACCAAGUUUUGGCAUGAUCUCUAAGUGAAAACGGAAAUGACUUCAAUUUAGCAAUAUCAUUAUCCAUGUCUUUCUUCUUUUGCAUAUCACACAAAUCAACAAAGUUAUUUAGAUGAGUAGUGACAUCUUCACUAGGAAGGCCGGAGAAUUGAUCUUUCAUAACAAGAUUCAACAAAGCAACAUUGAUUUCACAAGAUUCAGCAUCAUUAAGAGGAGCAAUCGGAGUGCUAAGGAAAUCAUUAUUGUUGGUAUUGGUAAAGUCACACAAUUUAGUGUUAUCUUGAGCCAUCGUGACAAGCAAUCCAACACACAAGCACACAAGAGGCAAGCAAAAAAGAGGCGAACAGAAAAGAGAGGGCGAAUAAAAUGCCAAGGGUGAAGUGGGGCAGAGGAAAAUGAGAGGCAAAUGGCAAAUAAUGUAAUGCGAGAGAGAUGAGUUUGUGAUGGGUACUUGGUAUGUCUUGACUUGAGCGAAAACCUCCCCAGCAACGGCGCCAGAAAUCCUUUUUGCUACCUCUUGAGCACUGCGUUGGUUUUCCCUUGAAGGGGAAAGGGUGAUGCAGCAAAGUAGCGUAAGUAUUUUCCUCAGUUUUUGAGAACCAAGGUAUCAAUCCAGUAGGAGGCUCCACACACGUCCCUCAUACCUACACAAACAAACAAGAACCUCGCAACCAACGCGAUAAAGGGGUUGUGAAUCCCUUCACGACCACUUGCGAAAGUGAGAUCUGAUAGAGAUAAUAAGAUAAGAUAAAUAUUUUUAGUAUUUUUAUGAUAUAGAUUGGAAAGUAAAGAUUGCAAAAUAAGAUAGAUCAAAAAUUUAUAUGAUGGAAAAUAGACCCGGGGGCCAUAGGUUUCACUAGUGGCUUCUCUCAAGAUAGCAUAAGUAUUACGGUGGGUGAACAAAAUUACUAUCGAGCAAUUGAUAGAAAAGUGCAUAGUUAUGAGAUUAUCUAGGCAUGAUCAUGCAUAAAGGCAUCAUGUCUGCGACAAGUAGACCGAAACGAUUCUGCAUCUACUACUAUUACUCCACACACCGACCGCUAUCCAGCAUGCAUCUAGAGUAUUAAGUUCAUAAGAACAGAGUAACGCAUUAGGCAAGAUGACAUGAUGUAGAGGGAUAAACUCAAGCAAUAUGAUAUAAACCCCAUCUUUUUAUCCUCGAUGGCAACAAUACAAUACGUGCCUUGUUGCCACUGCUAUCACUGGGAAAGGACACCGCAAGAUUGAACCCAAAGCUAAGCACUUCUCCCAUUGCUAGAAAGAUCAAUCUAAUAGGCCAAACCAAACUGAUAAUUCGAAGAGACUAGGAAAGAUAACCAAUCAUACAUAAAAGAAUUCAGAGGAGAUUCAAAUAUUUCUCAUAGAUAAACUUGAUCAUAAACCCACAAAUUCAUCGGAUCUCGACAAACACACCGCCAAAAGAGUUACAUCAAAUAGAUCUCCAUGAAGAUCGAGAAGAACAUUGUAUUGAGAUUCAAAGAGACAUAAGAAGCCAUCUAGUUAAUAAUUAUGGACCCGAAGGUCUGUGGUAAACUACUCACAACUCAUCGAAGAGGCCUUGGCGAUGAUGUAGAAGCCCUUCGUGAUCAAUUACCCCUUCGACGGAGCGUCGGAAAAGGCUCCAAGAUGGGAUCUCACGGGUACAAAAGGUUGCGACGGUGGAAAUAGGUUUUCGUGGUGCUCCUCGAUGUUUUCAGGGUAUGCAAGUAUAUAUAGACGAAAAAAGUCGGUCAGGGGAGCCACGAGGGUGGGGGCGCGCCAGGCACCCUCGUGGCUGCCUCGGCUGCUUCUUGACGUCCACUCCAAGUCUCCUGGAUUGCAUUUGUUCCAAAAAGAUCGCUCCUGAAGGUUUCAUUCUGUUUGGACUCCAUUUGAUACUCAUUUUCUUCGAAACACUGAAAUAGAAAAAAACCCAGCAAUUCAGGUUGGGCCUCCGGUUAGUAGGUUAGUCCCAAAAAUGAUAUAAAAGUGUAAAGUAAAGCCCAUAAACAUCCAAAACGGGUAAUAUAAUAGCAUGGAACAAUCAAAAAUUAUAGAUACGUUGGAGACGUAUCAUCCUCCUAUGUUUAAUUAGCCAAUAGUUCUACAAUAAUGUCUGGGUUCAAAGCAGAGUACUAUGGGCAGCAACUAAUUUACUCUUUUGACCUUCCAUUUUAACUUGAUAUGUGUGUGUGUGUUUAAUUUGCCUAGCCUAACCACACGCAAAGACCAUAAUCAGAGUCUAAUCACAAGUAAUCAAUUGUUUCGCAAAGCAGUAGAGCAAAAAUAGAAAGGCUAGUAUAAAGUAUUUAACAAAAUGGGAUUGGAAAAUGCAUCCAACAUCAACUGUAAUAUAUCUGCAACAAUAUAAUCCACCCACCCAAAGAGCACAUGCUACUCAUUUCUGUAGAGAAGCCACUUCUUACUGUUGGAAAAUGACAACAAGUAGGAAUAGGAUGAACUCAGGUUGCAAUCUAGGACUAAUGCACUAAGAAUCUAAUAUGACAAGAUAAAAAAGUUAUUUAUAAGCCAUUUCUUCAGGUUCUUAAGCAGCCUGACCGAGCAUUUUCCUGCUCCUUAACUAUAUGGGAAUAACGUUUUAUGAAGGAUGAAUCUGCAGGUGACAUAUACUAAGUAAGAAAUACUAGAAUUAAAAAUAAUUUGAUAUCCCGCAGAACCACCGAGUAAAAGAAAUAACUUCAAAGGAUUGGUAGAAUAGUAGGUAAAUGUCCUUCAGGAGAAGCCUAGAUAAUCAACAUACAUUUUUUAGGUAAAUUCGAUUUUCUGUGUGUUCUGUUAAUGCAGGAGGAAAGAAUUUAACAAUCUUCUUGGUUCUACCUUGAAAUAACAUAAGAUAACUCCAUACUUGUUUGGUUGAUUUAGGCAUGAACAGUUGAUCCGAUAAGCUUGAUGUUGAACAGUACAUUGAUGUAGGCAUGAACAACCAAUCCAAUAAGCUUGAUGUAGAUUGCUAGUCCCCCUUUUGGAUAUAAAAGAAGACUUGUAACGUGGUAAUCAUACAGAGAUAUUAACAUGGGGGUGGGGAAUCAGAACCAUAAAGAAAUACUCCUCUAAAAUUGUGCUCCUCUUGGAUAGACACAUUUGAUGUACCUAAGGAUCCAAAUCGAAUAUAGUCAUGAUGGUAUGACCUGAUCUACAAAAGAAUCAAAGACUUGAUAUUAGUUAUUAUCAGCAGGCACCAUUAGCUUACACAAAUA
rnacentral:lncRNA from 1 species